UACGUAGGGGGCAAGCGUUGUCCGGAAUCAUUGGGCGUAAAGAGCGUGUAGGCGGCCCGGUAAGUCCGCUGUGAAAGUCGGGGGCUCAACCCUCGGAUGCCGGUGGAUACUGUCGGGCUUGAGUACGGAAGAGGCGAGUGGAAUUCCUGGUGUAGCGGUGAAAUGCGCAGAUAUCAGGAGGAACACCAAUUGCGAAGGCAGCUCGCUGGGACGUUACUGACGCUGAGACGCGAAAGCGUGGGGAGCAAACAGGAUUAGAUACCCGUAGUAGC
rnacentral:rRNA from 1 species